GCCCGUCAAGCUCAGUCGGUAGAGCGCAAGGCUCUUAACCUUGUGGUCCUGGGUACAAGUCCCAGGGUGGGCG
rfam:Ipomoea nil DNA, scaffold: scaffold3056, cultivar: Tokyo-kokei standard.